AAGAAGAAGAAGAAGAAGAAGAAGAAGAAGAAGAACUCAUCACAGGGACCGCUUCGUCUCUCUACCGGGUAAGAAUUUUCUGGGGACCGCUUCGUCUCUCUACCGGGUAAGAAUUUUCUGGGUCGAUCGACCUUUGUCCUUGGGAUGGAAGUCUCUCUCUGUUCUUUUUUGGGACAAUUUGAGUCUGGUUGUGUCGAGAAGGUGAUACUGUGGAAGCAGCAGUGAGCGAACUGAAGGAAAAUGGGCUCCAAUCCUAAAGUCCCUUUCUUUGAUGAGGUCGCCAAGCACAACAGCCGCACCGAUUGCUGACUUAUUAUCUCUGGUAAGGCGCUGUCCGUGUAGCUUGCUAUAUCACUCGUCGAUGCGUGUUUACUGAGGCUAUGGUUCUGAAGAUGCAUUGUCCUUUUUUUUUUCCUGAUGAUUGAGGUUCUGUUUCUUUGCCCUUUACCGUUUGGAUGAGAAUGCUCUCAACUUGUCAGUAGAAAAGGAUCUUGCUGGGUUGCCAUAUCUCCACGUGUAGCUUCUUCCUUCGAAUUUGCUUGGUAACCUUCCUGCCUUGAGGCGCGAGGCCCAUUGAGCAUCAGCUAAGCUACUUGCAAUUGUUUUGCCAUUGUCACUUUCUAUCUUGGGCUUCUGUUCUUGACUUUUCCUUUUCAAAUUCGUUGCAUCUUGUAAUGACUAAACUACAUAUAUCAGCUAGAGGAUGUCAAAGGACUUCGGGCAAGCCUCUUCAUACUUAUAUGUUAUUUUCCGUAUUCUCCUCAUGAUUAAAGCUGCUAUUGGUACCGGCGUGAGCUUUUGGAACUCCAGGAGGAGCUUUUAUUUGGGAGGGUGAAAAGAAUUUAUGUCCCUGACGAGUUCCUUUUGGUUGCUCUGGUCGAGUAACCUGUUCACCUAUUAAUGCAAAAAUUAGAUUUCCCUUUCAGCAUAUUGCAUUAAGCGUUACUGGCCUUUGCAAACCUGAACGUUUUUAAUCACUGCGGUAAAUAUCAUGGAGAAUUCUCGGCCCUUUUAGUACAUUCAGUCCUCCAGGUUCACUAACCCGAUGUUUGAGCAUGCGUGCCCAUUAUAGUUGCCUAUUGUUCCAACAGGAACUUUUCUAAAUAAUCUAGAAAAUGGAGGGAUGCUUCCUUAACAAGUCGACAGUGUUAUAAAUAUGAGAUAGAAAUGAAAAAUAUAUCUCUUUCUUUAUUCUUUUUUCCUUUCUGUUUUGUUUGUCUGGACAAAACAAGUUCUCCUUUCUGUCAUGAUUCUUGAGAUCUUUUCCUUUGCAAAAGGGACUUUAGUCAGAGAAUGACAUGGAAUGAAAACUCCUUGAUGGCUUUCUGCAUAUAUACAUGAAUUAUUUUACGGGUUCAUUAUGGACCAUAUACAAUUACAACGCCUUGUAUCCAAUUUUUUCUUCUUCCAAUGUUUUUUUAUUUGUUGAUGAGUUAGUUGAUCACCAUUAAAGAUGCAUUAAACAUUAUGAUGCAUAUUCUGGCACAUAGCAUGUGGAAAUUUAACUGUUUUCUUUUGGGAUUAUAUAAAUGGCGAGUGGCAUUGUCUCAGGUCUAUGAUGUAACUCCUUUUCUGGAGGAUCAUCUUGGAGGGGAUGAAUUCCUGCUAAACAACACGGGUGAAACGAAUAUUAGUCCCUUAAAAUUCACACUGAUGUGACCACAGAAAUUGUUAUUUAUCAAUUGCACUGUCUUGAUUGUGCAGGGAAAGAUGCUACUCAUGAUUUUGAAUUUUGAAUUUUUUUUGGUGAAACGAUUUUGAAGAUGUUGGUCAUAGCGAUUCUGCAAAAGAGAUGAUGGAGAAGUAUUAUAUUGGCAAAGUCGACAGCUCCACUCUUCCAGCAAAGAGGGCGUGCACAAGUUCUCUUUGGCCCUGAAAUUGAGAAUUCUUGCAGAAAUCAUCCCCAAGGCAUUAUGUUCCAGGAAAGUGAAAGCAAGAAUUGGUGAUUGGAUUUGAGCGUGUGAUGCCUUAAUUUUCGGACGUGGCUGCACAUGCACCUUCUGUGGCAUCAUUUGUUCUACAUGAAAAUUUUCUCAAGUGUUAUGGGGCUAUGAGUGUGUGGAUCUGGUGAAGUUGUGCUUGAAGAUAGUCUUGUUGAGGUAGAUUGGAAAUGUGUAGGUAAUAAGCAAUCUAAAUGACAGUUAUAGAUAGAUGAGAGGAUAAUAUCUGAGUAGGCUUCAUGAACUAAAUCAAAAUUGGUUGUGCAACCAGUUUCGAUGGCAGUUAAAAGCUUUAUUUUGCCAAUCAGCUUUAGGAUGUGAGUUGAUCCUCUUUCCAAUGGAUUUAUCCCAAAGGGGCGUCCUGUCAGUUCAUAUUGAAAUAUGAAUGUCUAAUCACAAGUUAAAACUCAGGGGAAUUGGAACUGGUCCUUUAACGGCAAUGGAAUGAAACUUUACACGGGUAUCUUAGCUGGAUCACCCGUCAAUGUUUACGAAUAUAGGUAAUUAUCAAGUUAAACCAUGGCUGGUUUCUCUUGAUAACCGAAGUUCUAGACCAAGAAUUCAAGGGCAAUUUUCCCCUGUGAAUGAAUGCAAAAUCACAUCUCUCCUUAGGAUAACAUAAGUAACCUGCAUGAAUAUGGCAGCAGCAGAAGUUUAUGC